rnacentral:lncRNA from 1 species
UAAAAGAAAAUUAUUUUGUGACUUUUUAUGUUUUAUCUGGCCUUUUUGUGUCCGCUAUUGUUUAUUUUAAAAAUCUAAUGUAAGAUGAGUCUUCGCACAGCAAAUAACAUGCUUAUCAGCCAUUUUGUAUGAGUCUAAUUUCGAAAGUCCAACUUCAAAUUUGUGUUCAGCAUACUCAAAAACAGACCGCAAAUAGAGGCAAUGAUGCCAAGUCACGUGGAGAGCAGAGGUAAGAAAACAACAGCUGAGUACAGCACACGCCGCCGGGACUCUAGCGGACUCUCCGCUCUGCGCAUUAUAUUCAUCUAUUACUGCCGUUGCCCUCUCUCCGCUCCCUCGACCUUUUUCUCCCUUCGCCGCUGCAGCCACUUGUCACGGCAGAAUCGUGAAAAAUCGUAAUACCCCGUCUACAUAGAAGUUUCACUUCAGAAAAACUUUAACUGUUUGGUAUGAGAACGCUUCCUUUACAAAAGAACUUUCAUUUGUUGGAAUUUAAGCAAUAGAUCCUUCAGGUCCUUCGACUUGCUACUCAUCCCUUCCUUAAAUUGUCAUGACCUAAGCUGGAAUUGAGUUAGGUUACAUUAGGUUGCAAUUCAGUAGGCAUUUAAUGUUAAAAUUUCAACCCAUAUACUCAUCAUAAGUAUCGUAUUUUCCUAGGAAAUAAUCUUUCAUUAUUCAAAAUUAUUAUUGUUCCAUAUUCGUAGCCUAAUUUUGCUCUCAUUAUUUCUAAACUAUUUAAACCUAACAGUAUAUCAAAUAUAUGUAGGUAUACAUACUUAUAGCCGCUACCUUUCGUACUAAAUAACCUGAAUAACCCUGUGCAUAUGUCGAGUUUUUUUUUUAAUAAUUGUUUCGUAAUCAUAAAUAUGUAACCGAAAAAUAUAAUAAAAAAUAACCAGUAAUAAUAAAAUUUUGGAGAAAAUUUAACUUACCUAAUAUAAUGUAAUCUGUUCUGACCAUAUUUGUUCAGAAUUAUUUUUAUGAUAUAUUUCAAUGUAUUACUGGAGUUUACUAGAAAUAUUUUUACUUUGAUGUUAGAUUUGUUAGAGACAUUUGCUGUGCCUACUUUUAAACAUUUAUUACACUCUAGGUACUUCUGUCGAACCUAGCCCACUUUUUAA